CGCGACCCCANGUCAGGCGGGAUCACCCGCUGA
rnacentral:rRNA from 1 species